AGUGUAAUGGUCAGCACACUGAGCCGGUAUUUCAGAGGUCCGUGGUUCGAUUCCCGG
rnacentral:tRNA from 1 species